AGUUUUUCAAGUUGCAAGUUAUAUAGAUAUUCCUGUACACUGUUAAUUCAAAUCAGGUGUAGUCCUGAUUGAACAUGUGCAGAUUAUUUCAUUCUCUAAAUUGUGUCAAAAUUAGAACAUCCCAAUUGUGUUUUAUUAAAGACAGUCUUUAAAAUAUUGGCAUCAAAGAGCACAUGGUUGAAGUAAUCUAAAUGUAUAUCAGUUAAUUAGACAAAAAGAGAAGGAGUGGCAAGAAAGAAAAUAGUAAGGCAUUAGAGUUGCAUCAGAAUGUAGACAGAAAAGGGAAUUAAAAUAGGAAAAAUCUCACAUUAGGCUACUUGAAUUAUAGGCUUCAGAAACACUACUUUGAUAUUAUUCAUUAGAAGAAAGUACUUGGGGGUUUCACAAGACCAUGGUCAAGUCAUGUUAUUUCUCUGUAAUUAUGUCUCCUCAUCAAUAAAAUGGAAAGAAGCUUUUGGAAUUGUGAAGAUUAUAUAACAUAAUAUACAUGUUAGUUAUUUCAGGCUGCCAGGAAAAGGAAGUUACAUUCUGGUUGCUUCAGUUUAACAGCUACAGUGCCAGGCCUCCUGGAUGAAAAAGCAGCUGAACUCUCAAAAUCACACAGGCAACUUGGUUUCCUCAAUGGUACCAGAGAUGUUCCAGCCUCAGGACCUGCUAUGGACUGAAUUGUGUCCUGCCCAAAAUUCAUAUAUCGAAGCUCUAAUCCCAGUGUGAUUGUAUUUGAAAGUAGGUCCUAUAAGGAGAUAAAGUCAAAUGAGAUCAUAAGGGUGGAGCCAUGAUCCAAUAGGAUGAAUGUUUUUACAAGGAUAGAUAACAGAGUUGUCUUUCUCCGUAUCUCUCUCUCUCUCUGCCACGUGAGGAAACAGUAAGAAGCCAGCCAUCUGCAAGCCAGGAAGAGAGCUCUCACCAGAGAAACCUAACUGUGCCAGAACUUUAUCUUAGAGUUUAGCCUCCAGAACCAUAAGAAAAUAAAUUCCUGUUGUUUAGGCCAUCCCGUCUACGGCAUUUCGUUAUGGUAGCCCCAGAAGACAAAGACAGAUUUUCAUACUAUGAGGUAGGAUGCUGCUAUAACAGAUACCAAAAAUGUGGAAGUGGCUUUGGAACUGGGUAAUAGUUACAGGCUGAAGGAGUUUUGAGAUGCAAGCUCAAAAAAGUUGAUAUUGUCAUAAAGGGACUGUUGGUAGAAAUAUCAUUGUUACUGGUUAUACUGGUGAGAAUUUUAAAAGACAAGAAGAGGACUGGAGACAAAGGCUCCAUAUUCUUAGAAAAUACAUAAAUAAUCAUGAAAAGAAUGUUGGUAGAAAUAGGAAUGUUAAAGACCAUUUUGGUGAGGUCUCAGAUGAAUGAGGAACAUGUUAAUUGAAACAGGAGGAAAGGUGAUUCUCCUUAGAGAGUAGCAAAUAAUUCGGCUGAAUUGUGUUUAUGUUCUAGUGUGUUGUGGAAAGUAAAAUUUACAAGCAAUGAAAUUUAG
rnacentral:lncRNA from 1 species